GCCUCCCAAAGUGCUGGGAUUACUGGCAUGAGCCACCGUGCCUGGCCAGAUGCCUGCAGUUUUAAAUCAGACUCGGCACCAGUGACAUUCAAAUCAAAGUUUUGCAGAACUAGCAAAGCAACUCUAUGGAACCCCAGGAUUCCACUGGGAACACAGUUUGAAAAUCAUUGCAAUAGGAUAAAUUCUUGGAAGUGGAAUUGCUGGAGCAAAGGGCCUGAACCUUUUAAAAGCAGUUUGUGGCCAGGCACGGUGGCUCACACCUGUAAUCCCAGCACUCCCCUCUGUGCCGUGACUCAGGAACCAGGUAAUGUGCUGAGUCAGGCCCCAGGCACAGGAAGCCACAGAUCAGACACAGCUCAACAACAGGCUUCCCUGAGCCCCCUUGGCUCACACCAGCAGCAACGCCGGGUUCCAUGUGCAGAUAAGUGAUCCAUCUCAGUCUCUCCCAGCUGACAGGGAGUUGAAGGUUCUACUCUUGGCCCUGAUCCUAAUACCAGUGCCAAUAAUCGAGCACCUACUAUUUGCAAAACAUUGGGCCAGGAACUUGACCACAUCCUCCCUUCAUCCUCAGAACAACCCGUUAGGGAGGGCCUCCCUGUCCCCAUUUUCUAGAUGAGGAAAUGGAGGCUUUAGAGCAGCUAACGUGGCUUAUACAACCUGCCUGCAGAACCUUCCAGGUCUGAGCUGAGGUGUCAUCUCUGAACACCAGGCUGCUGCACUAACCAGAAGACCCCUCCCCACCUGCAGUGGCCUCGCUGCAUCGUAAGGAUGGAGGAGCUGUUGUCUCCACAGCUGACAGUUCUAGAAACUGAGAAAAUCA
rnacentral:lncRNA from 1 species